AUGGAAACGACGGUUCUGCUUUACCGGAGGCCGACUUGAAGCAAGUCUUUCUGACCCAUCUACAGAAAAAGAGAGAUUAAUUCUCUCCCUGGUCCCCCUCUUCCUUCCCUUUCCUCUCUCCUUUCUCUGCCCCUCCAUAUACCCUUGUAUAACCACAGGUAAGUAUAUAAAAUGUUUUGUGGGUACCAUCAUUGAUGGUAACUGCCAGAUAUUUCCAGCAUUCGCCUCCAUCGCCUUUGGUAGGUCUGAGGAUGGAACUCGGGUCUUUAGGCUUUGUGACAAGUAACUUUACCUGCAAAGUCAUCUAGACAACAAACAGAUGAAAGAAAAAAAAAAAAGAAAGAAGGAAAGACUGGACACACUUGAAGCUGAGAUUUCAUAAAACAACAGUAUUCUAAGAGACUACACUCUUCAUUCUUCCCUAGAAAUCUAGACGAUGCUUCUGCUAGCAAACGUCAUAUAUAAAGUCAAAACGUCAAAUAAAGUGUUGGGACCUAGGACCUUUGGGUUUUCCAGCCUGAUUUCCCUCUCUGGCAGCUGCCUGGUUUCUUUGGUUCGGCUGAAGCUGAAUGGAGAGUGCCACUCGCUUGGCCCGCACACACUGCAACUUUUAAUUGGGUAGUAAACAGAGGAAAACACACUUCCUGUUUCCAGUAAAAAGCAGGCAUAUGAGAAGGAAGGCCUGAAGCCCAGACUGUGCCUAUGAUCUCACAGGCUUCUUAUGAUCAACCUCCAACAGCAUCCCUCAGGAGAAUGGUCUCAGGCACAGCCCUUUGGGAAGCAGGCCGGGCGAAGUCAGCACGUAGAGAAAUACAAACACCAAAAUCAAUCUGCUUAAACCGUGAUAACCACAAUCAGUUCUUCACACAACUGAUGAGACUUGAAUGUGUGCCUUUUAUCAACUUGAUUCUAUAUCACACAUCUCAGUCGAUGUGUAUUGAAGCCUUGCUUACAUAGCAGGGCUGGAUUCAGUACUAAGGGUGUGGAGAAGAGAAAACCUGGUUCCUGAGCCCAGCUACCUCAUCUGGGCUAACAAACUAAAGCUGAAUUUCAAAAGUAAUUACUAAGGAGGUCUUUGUUUCUUUCGGUUUUCUUUCCUUUUUUUCUUGAGGAAUGAAAUUAAAAGCAUGAUUUAUAACUUUCCAGACAAACAUGCAUAUUUCAUUUUGUGAGGCAAUGUCUUACCAUGUAUCUCAGACAGUCCUUAAACUUAUUACAUAGCCCAGAUUGCUCUUUCACUCACAGCAAUCCUCCUGCCUCAGCCUCCUGAGUGCUGGGACAACAGGUGUGCACCGUCAUCGUCAGCAUGUCUUAUAUAAACAUGUAAAAAUACAAAAACAGUGGACUAUUUUAAGGGAAUCAAACACCAAUUACAUAAAAGACAUAGUUACAUAAAAUCACCAAACUCGUAACAUCUGGGGUGUAUUAAGUCUCUUAGAAAAGUGUACCUUUUCUUAAUAUUUAGUCCUUUAUUAUAGUGCAUUUGAAGCCCUUUCAUUUGUGAAACACAAUUAUCACCAGAUUAAUUAAAAACAGCUCUUUCCAG
rnacentral:lncRNA from 1 species